rnacentral:lncRNA from 1 species
AAAAUCUGUCCAAAUAUUACAUCCAAAGCUAAAGAAAUCCAGGACUAUUUCUCUCAUCACCUGACUGCUAUGUUGAGUCUGUCUUAUAGUUUCUAUUUCAUAUACCCCAAAACCAAAAGAGGAACAUGGUGAUGACUUAGUCUACACCCUUAGGUUUAUGCCCUAUCACUAAUUUUCAAAAUGAAUUGAAAUUGGCAAGUCCCUCCUAGGUCCCUGUACCACUAACUUGACUUAGCACUUUUUUGCCUCUCAAAAUAAGUAUUUUCCAUCCUGUUCCAAUGGGUUUCUUUCUUUUCCUUACCAUCUUGUUUGAUAGGACCACACAAUUCUUACAAAAAAUGAAAUGAUAUUUAGUUGAAUGGUUUGUCUAAAUGUUGUUCAUAACUUCAGGGUUAUCUUUCUAAUUACUGAAAGCCCUUUAGUACCUUGGUUCUGAUACAAGAAAGCAAUCCAAGUCAUGUUCCUGAGCAUCAAAUGAGGACCUACAUCUUUUUUUUUUUUUUUGCCACAUUUAAGCAUCUACGUAUUUAUGGCACUAAAUCAUCAAAGUUCACCAGAGUCUAAAACCACAGACAGCUUUUCUAGUAGAACAUUUGGUGUUUCUAAGAAGCACACAGAUUUGUUCCACUGUGAAAAGAAUAGGGAGCUUCUUAUCAGUAAGUGUCUUCUUAUAGGAGGGCUCAGCUAAGGACCCCAGCACAUGACCUCACUUCCUUGGCGACAGGUCCAAACAGAACUUGGAGCCCUGUCAUCAGGCACCACAGUCUAGCAACAACUGCCUCCCCAGUCAGUUGGCUGAAAACAGUCAGCAGCAAACAUGCUGUGCUGCUUUCCCAGGCCUCCUGGUCGCAGCCUCAGGACCCCACACAGGGAAACCACUUGGCAAUGAAUGAGAGGAUGGUUCACUUGGCCCAGAAGCUUCAGGACCCUUGCCAGGAACCGUCCAACAGUCAUGGGCAGCACAGGGCAGGUCUCACCAGACCCAGCCCCUAGAUGCCCAGAGAUAAGAGAGAGCCCAGGACAAGUGUCCCUAGGUUCAGCCACCAGACACUUGGAGCCACUGAUACCUGGACAGAUUGGAAAUCCGUCAACCGAGAGCUUGGCAGAGGUCUGCACAGUAAGCACAGUGAGGCAGGGAUUCCUCACACUCCAGUGGAGACCUUGGGGAAGGACUUCCAGGAUAACAAGAGCAGGUGGGUGCCAUCAAUCCAUGAAUGCACAUGAAGAGACACUAUGUGCAGAAACAUUGACCAUGAUCCUAGAAGCAGAGCAGAUGCCAUCACUGCCCUUUUGGAUUUCAAUGUUGGGGGCCACAAAGUCACCCUGGGCAACAGUUCAGAUAUUCCUCACACUAAGGUAGAUUCCACCCUUUCCUGGCCUCCACAGAUGUGGAUACAAGCAGUGCAAGUGUGGCCAGAAAAGAUAGAGAACUGAGCAACCCAUUACUGCAUGAGCAAGAGACUCAGCUCUCACUCCUACUCACAGCAGACUCCUGACCCCUCACAUCUCACAUAUUAAUCCAGCAGCCCUGUGCCCUUGAGGGCAAGGCCACAGCAGAUACCAAUCCCUGUCCUCAUGGAGCUGACCUGCCAGUGAGGAGAGGCAGAGGUCAGGCUUCCCUGAAGAAACAGAGCUAUCACACCACUAAACAAGGACUGAUUCCCAUGGAGCCUUCUGCCAGCCUGUCAGGGCUGCCUGGGACUGCACUGUCCCUUUCAGGGUGGGGAGCUUGUAGACCUGGCACUGCACAGAUUGGGCAGGAGGCCCCUGUGUUCAUACUGACAGGUGUCCUGGAAAGAUAGUGUGGAUCUAAAGGCCAGGCCUCUCACUUUGCUGCCUACCUGUCUUCCCCAGGUGCACCUUUUCUGUCUUUGACUCCUCAGUGGAGCUGAAAUCCCAGGUGCAUCCCCAGGAUGAGCUUCUCCAGGACCACCUGGUGCCUCCUGAGUCCUCUGAUGAAGAGCCCCAGGGUGAAAGGGCUGUAGAAUGGAACUGCGGACAGGAUACGGGCCUUGAAACACAGAAAGGCUGUGAGCUGUUGAGUGACUCAUGAACAUUCAGACACUCAGCGGUCAGUGGGGGGCUGCAGGCUGGGAGGACUUCCUGGGGGUGUGUUGGUGCACACAGCUGUCUCUGACAGGCAGAGAGUUUUGCCCAGAAGGGAACAAGAAAAGUUGGUGAUCUUUUCUCCUCUUGCAACUGCAGUGCCAGCUCCAGCCCACGCUGAUGUCCCACCUGCAGAGUUCGUGCCAACUGCAACUGCAGCUCCCUCACCAGCUCUGACCCCACAGCAAGAGCCAGGACCUGAAACCCCUUCUCCACCAGCUGCAGAGCUGCAACUCCUGGUGGCUCCACAGCAAGUGCCAUCUCUUGAGCUCUACUUGGGGCCAACUCUUGACCCAUACCUGCAAUUCCUCUCCCUUACAGAUUUAGUUACUAUUGUAUUUAUUGUUACUCUUAUUUCCCAGAGACAGGCCAAUGAUAGAAUUAUUUAAAAUAAAAUUUAAGCUUUUAGUCUUGUUUAAAAUGAUCAACUUGCUGCAUUUUCAGUGCAUUCUCAUUCAUUCGCAGUGUUGUGCAACCUUCACCAUUGUCCAGUUCCAAGACAUUUUCAAUACGCAAAGGCAUUUCCUCCCUUCUCCCCUGCUGCUAGAUCCACUCAUCUUAUGUCCUUGUAAUUAAUCUAUUCUACAUUUUUCACAAAACUGCAAUCAUAUUGGUCUUUGGCUGCAGAAUCUUGGAAGCUACUGUUCAAUCUUGCUUAUUGGAGGACAGGAAAAUCCUAGAUAGAUUCCCAUGAUUUCUCAUCACAAACUAAAUUAUCCAGUGUUUUUUCAGACAAG